GCCCCCGUAGCUCAAUGGACAGAGCGACAGCCUUCUAAGCUGCAGGUUGUGGGUUCGAGUCCCGCCGGGGGCGCCA
rnacentral:tRNA from 1 species